AGGACGAACGCUGGCGGCAGGCCUAACACAUGCAAGUCGAGCGCCCGUAGCAAUACGGGAGCGGCAGACGGGAUAGUAACACGUGGGAACGCGCCCUUCGGUUCGGAAUAACUCAGGGAAACUUGAGCUAAUACCGAAUACGCCUUUACGGGGAAAGAUUUAUUGCCGAAGGAACGGCCCGCGUCCGAUUAGCUAGUUGGUGAGGUAAUGGCUCACCAAGGCUACGAUCGGUAGCUGGUCUGAGAGGAUGACCAGCAUCACUGGGACUGAGACACGGCCCAGACUCCUACGGGAGGCAGCAGUGGGGAAUAUUGGACAAUGGGCGAAAGCCUGAUCCAGCAAUGCCGCGUGUGUGAAGAAGGUCUUCGGGAUUGUAAAGCACUUUCGACGGGGACGAUGAUGACGGUACCCGUAGAAGAGCCCCGGCUAACUUCGCGCCAGCAGCCGC
rnacentral:rRNA from 1 species